AGAGGUUUUAGAGCUGGGAUGGAUUUUCCAGAAAUCUUCUGUUUCAAACACCUGCCCUAGGAUAGGCAAAUGGGAGCUACUAAAAUUUUUGGAGUUGGAGUGGAAUAUGAGAUGUCUUUCAAGAAGGUUAUCAUGCAGUCCUGAAAGAACAGACAUGCUGAUUGGCACAGAGCGGCAGGAAGAAUAUAAAGACACCAUGAAGCUCUUAAACUGCGAUCUGUUCAUUUACUCCUGUUUGAAUUGGAAGAAUAGGAGCUGACGUUUGGAUGGGGUCUUAAAAGUCAUCUUGUGCAACCUUGCACCCAAUGCCAGAAUUACUGGGGCUAC
rnacentral:lncRNA from 10 species